UAAUGUUGAGUUGGUGUGCAGAACCACUUAUCAGUAUUUCAAGCUUUCUUUCUGUGUUCCUUCUGUUAGGUCUCAUUAAGAUUCUUCACAAGCUAUGGUGGACUCCAACUCGCAUACAGAAAUCGUUGGCUUCUCAGAGAGUCGAAGGCCCUUCUUACAGACUUAUCCAUGGAAACAGCAAAGAAAUCUCCAACAUGAGAAUUGAAGCCAUGAGCAAGCCCAAAAGUUUAACCCAUGACAUAUUUUCUCAAGUUCAACCUCAUACUCACUCAUGGAGAAAAAUAUAUGGGAAGAAUUUUCUCCAAUGGUAUGGCUCUCAAGCUCAGUUGCUUAUUAUGGAACCUGAAUUGUGCAAAGAGAACAAUAAAGACAGAACUUUCACAAAAAGGGAACCCCAAAGCUUUGUGAAGAAGGUAUUAGGAGAUGGUCUUGCUGCAACAACCACCCAAGCUGAAAAAUGGGCAAAAGUUCGAAAAAUAGCUAACCAUGCUUUCUAUGGAGAGAGCUAAAAAGUAUGAUUCCAGUAAUGAUAGCUAGUACUGAGACGAUGCUUGAGAGGUGGAAAAAUCAUGAAAGAGAAGAGAUUGAGGUGGUUGAAGAAUUUAGGUUGUUGACUUCAGAAGUGAUGAUCUCAAAAACAGCAUUUGGCAGCAGCUACUUAGAAGGGCAGAACAUUUUUGAGAUGUUAAUGAAGUUGUACUCCUUAAUAUCCAGAAACUUUUUUUGAAGUCAGGGUUCCAGUCAUCAGGUAACUUCUGUAAGAUUAAAAUGGACAUUAUCAUUUAAGUUCAAUAAAGUACUCGGCAACUUGUCAUUCAC